UCUGGGGAUGUAGCUCAGUGGUGAAGCAUAUGCUUAGUAUCCAUGUGGCUCUGGAUUCAAUUCUCAGCACCAGAA
rnacentral:tRNA from 1 species